GGCCACUCCACCAUGGCUCUCAGGGCAGACCACACGCGGUCCACCCACCACCUCAACACUAUGGGCCAUAACUCCUUCUAUAUAUACCUUACCACCUAUAAUAGACUUCCACUACAAACUACAUAAUAUAACGUAGAACUGACUGUAGAUGGAUAUUGAGGAUGAAUCCAACAGAUUGCCAUCAAAGAGGCCACAUGUAGGCUGCAUCAUCCACUGCUCACAUGAAGAGACUAACUGAUUAUCACCACAAAGUUUGGACUCUUGGAAAAUAUUACUAAAGCGAACAACUAUUGUAAAGGACGGGAAACAAGAGAGACUUGUACAAUGCAGAGAACUGUGAACUGAUGCCAAGAUCAGGAGUGCAGGAACAUGGACAACAGAAUCCUUGCCAUUGUCAGUAGAGAUCUUGUAGCUGCUGAAGGUCACUACCGUAGGUCCUGCUGCCGAUAUUACACCAUGCUGCUGCGUGCAUUGCAUGCUGUAAAUUCUGGCUCAAAAGCUGUGAUAGUCACAGCUGAUGACACUGGUGUCAUGGACCUAUGCUUUGACUUCCACAAGGACAUCCCAUGCCCCAUUUAUGUCAAGCGUGGCACAUGCAACUGCCUGAGGUUUGUCGACACCAGCAAACUAGGCAGUGCAAUAGGCGAAAGCAUCUGUGACAGGUUGCAGGCUGUGACACCAAGAGUUCUGGUCAUGGGAAGCUGAGUGCCCUGCACCUGCUGAAGGACAUUGCCUUCCAGAAGACUUUCAGCCAACUUGGGAUGUUUCCCCAGAACUGUUUGAGAAGGUCCAGCGGUUCACCCGCAGCAAUAUGCUGUAGAUAACAUCACCAAUGGGGUGAUCCACCUAAAACACCCAUCUUAUCUAUACAGGAUUCAAUGGAUUGAAGUACAGUACUACCCAAAACUCAGACCUGCAGACAGGAGUUGGCAGAUCCUGUUUACUGGGGAUGGAUUAUCCAGCCAUUGUUUCCCCUCUGUGAUAUCUGGCAGUAGAGAAGACAGUACAACACAUUGGAUCCUGUUUACUGGGGAUGGAUUAUCUAGCCAUUGUUUCCCCUCUGUGAUAUCUGGCAGUAGAGAAGACAGUACAACACAUUGGAUCCUGUUUACUGGGGAUGGAUUAUCCAGCCAUUGUUUCCCCUCUGUGAUAUCUGGCAGUAGAGAAGACAUUGGCUGACAUAACUUGGGAAAGAAGAACUCCGUGUCUUGGAAAGGUUUGUGGUGGUGAUGUACGACAGGUCUAGUCCAGCUUUGUCUAAUGCAAUUCUACCAAGACGGUCUGCCAUAAAGGAACAUGUAAUGUUUGCAGCGUAUCAAGGUGGAAUGAUCUGGGGUCAGGCAGCAGUACCCAACCAGAUAUUCCAAGUCCUGCUAACUGAGGCUGGUAAAAUAAAGAUAAAUACCCUGGACAGACAUUCCACCAAUAGCACUCAGCUGUCAAGAACUGACCAGGUGUACUUACAAGAAACACUAUGAACAGCUAUGUAAAUGCAGCAGCUGUUGAGUAUUCUUAUACCCUGUAACAAUAUCUCCCAAGGAAAUGAUCAAGGUAUAAACAUGUUUCUCAUUGUUUAACUAAGAAUCAUUUAAACUUUUCUAUGAGAGAGAGCCAACCGUUUGUACAGGACCCUUAGUUCAUGCCCAGUAGACAUAUCUGAUGGUUUCCCCCCAAAAGUUCAAUUAGGAAGUUAUCUUGGAAUUUUGAAUGUCCUAUGGAAUAAUUAAGCCAUUCAAUGUUCACACUGUUUCAUGCUUGUAUGAGUGUAUCUGUAUCACUGUAAUGUAGGUUUAAGUUGGGGCAGGACUUAACUGACAUACUGAGUGGGGGCAGGACUUAACUGACAUACUGGGGAGUGAGGGCAGGACUUUACUGACAUACUGGGGAGUGGGGGCAGGACUUAACUGACAUACUGGGGAGUGGGGGCAGGACUUUACUGACAUAUUAGGAGCUAAAAUAAAACACUAGGUUGGUGAGGAUGACCGACUUUGUUCAGCCUUCAUUAUUAGUCAAUCAUAAUUUUGACUACAUAAUGUACAAGUCGACCAUUGUAGUGUGCUGGUGUCACAGAUGUCCUCCAGUAGUAAGAUGACUCGGGUGACUUGAGCCAACUUAGAAUACAGAAAACAUGUAGCUUUGGUUAUCAACAAGAUGUAAUAAAUACUUCAAACUACGAUAAAUUCUUAACUGGCAUUUUGUGUAUCAAUGGUAGGAAGGGGAAAAUAUUUUUAGGUUUACAGAUAAAGAUGGAACUUGUUACAUAACUAUUGAACCAAGAUUGUGAUGGGUUGUGGUGUUUUAUGUAUUGAUAAACCAGAAAAUAAAACAUCCAACAUAAGAUAAAACAUCAGUUCACCAAUGUUAUGUAGAGGAGUUUUACUUUUAUUUACUUGACUUAAAUAUUUUACUCAUGUCAUACAAAAUGGUUGCUUAUUACAACUACUGUACAUGAUAAAUAAGUUGGAUAUUAUUGAAAACUGUAUUUUCCUUAAUAAAUUUUGUCAGUGAUAUGUACAGAUUUUUA